rnacentral:lncRNA from 1 species
CGGGGCUUAAGGCCAACGGAAAACAGAGCGAGAGGCGCCUGCGCAUUACCGAAGAGGCAAGAACCAUCCGAGUAAGUCUCAGUGAGAAGCUGUAGUCCAUCUGGCUUACCCCAACGUAACAGGGCAGUCUACCCAUAAACCAGGCCUAGAUUUUUCCCUCCUUUGUGAGGUGGUUGAAGGAAUUUCUGUAUGGCCAGAGGCAUGAGCUAAGAAAAAGGAAUCAGUGCACCAGAGCAGAAAAGGAAGACUAGAGAAAUGCUAGAGAUGUCCUUACUAGUGACACAUUCUUGCUGAAGAACAAGUUCUCUGGAAGUGAAACUCAAAUAGGAGCGAACAAGAGGUACAGGUAGGUAUCAGUUCUGCUAGGGUCUUCAGAGAGACUGAGGGCCCCAAAACAGUGCUACUCAAAGGUGACCUGCAGACUUGUGCUGGUCGGUGAACACCUUUUUUUU